GAUGAACGCUGGCGGCGUGCCUAAUACAUGCAAGUCGAACGGAAAGGCCUCUUCGGAGGUACUCGAGUGGCGGACGGCUGAGUAGCGCGUAGGAAUGUACCCCAAAGUGAGGAAUAACUCCGAGAAAUCGGAGCUAAUACCGCAUGUGCUCUAAGGAGUAAAGCUUCGGCGCUUUGGGAACAGCCUGCGUAUGAUUAGCUUGUUGGUGAGGUAAUGGCUCACCAAGGCGACGAUCAUUAGCUGGUCUGAGAGGAUGAUCAGCCAGACUGGGACUGAGAACGGCCCAGACUCCUACGGGAGGCAGCAGUAGGGAAUUUUCCACAAUGGACGAAAGUCUGAUGGAGCAACGCCGCGUGCAGGAUGAAUGCCUUAGGGUUGUAAACUGCUUUUAUAUGUGAAGAUAAUGACGGUAGCAUAUGAAUAAGGAUCGGCUAACUCCGUGCCAGCCGCCGCAGUAAUAC
rnacentral:rRNA from 1 species